rnacentral:rRNA from 1 species
UAACCUGCCUGGUAGCGGGGGAUAACUAUUGGAAACGAUAGCUAAUACCGCAUAAGAGUAGAUGUUGCAUGACAUUUGCUUAAAAGGUGCAAUUGCAUCACUACCAGAUGGACCUGCGUUGUAUCAGCUAGUUGGUGGGGUAACGGCUCACCAAGGCGACGAUACAUAGCCGACCUGAGAGGGUGAUCGGCCACACUGGGACUGAGACACGGCCCAG